UGCGGUUCUUUUUCCUUUUUCAUUUGAUUUUGGCCUAUUGGGAAAAAUAUACACCUGUUUCUGUAUCCUUGAAGGAGGAGUGAUUGCAUCUAUCUGGGUUUCAAGCCUUUGUCCCCAAAGUAUAUUGAAUUAUUGCAAACAUGAUUCCCUUGCUUCCAGUACUACAGCAUAUACCUACACUGCUUAUUUAUUUUAUGCUUAAAGAUUCUAUCUGGCAAGAAGAAGCUUAUCUGCAGGGUUGCUACUUUAUAUGCAGUGUGGUUGGCGAAUCUCUUGUUUGACUUUUGCAGCUCACUCUGUCAUAUGCUGUAAGAAGUGUUUUCGUUCGUAUUUGUGCACUUGUUCUUGUUUUUGCAAUAUUAUGUUUUAGUGGUUGAUACUCCAAAACUGUUGUCAGAUGCCUUUGUUCCAUUGCUUGAGCUAUGGUGUAAUGACAUCUUAUAGAAGCAGUUUACUGAGAAUUCUCUGUUUCUGAACUGCUGAUAAAUUUAACUAAAUAACUUUAAUGGUGGAAAAUAAUCUGCAGUAUAGCAGCCAUCAAGCAACCAAAUUGGUGAUAAAUAUAUUAGUGACCGUUGUCGCAAAUUUGAGAUGUGAGGGUCAAUUUGGCUAGUGAGGAUAUCUGUAAUUUAGAAUGAAUCUUAGGAGAAAGACAUGGAGAUGCUAGAGAAUCUUUUUUGAAAAAAAAAUUUAAAACAGAUUAAAACUAAUCUCUGAACACAACUGAAAGAAUAAACUUCGAGGAAC
rnacentral:lncRNA from 1 species